rnacentral:rRNA from 1 species
AACGAACGCUGGCGGCAUGCCUAACACAUGCAAGUCGAACGAGACCUUCGGGUCUAGUGGCGCACGGGUGCGUAACGCGUGGGAAUCUGCCCUUGGGUUCGGAAUAACAGUUAGAAAUGACUGCUAAUACCGGAUAAUGUCUUCGGACCAAAGAUUUAUCGCCCAGGGAUGAGCCCGCGUAGGAUUAGCUAGUUGGUGAGGUAAAGGCUCACCAAGGCGACGAUCCUUAGCUGGUCUGAGAGGAUGAUCAGCCACACUGGGACUGAGACACGGCCCAGACUCCUACGGGAGGCAGCAGUGGGGAACAUUGGACAAUGGGCGAAAGCCUGAUCCAGCAAUGCCGCGUGAGUGAUGAAGGCCUUAGGGUUGUAAAGCUCUUUUACCCGGGAUGAUAAUGACAGUACCGGGAGAAUAAGCCCCCGGCUAACUCCGUGCCAGCAGCCGCGGUAAU